CAACAGGCUUUUUUUUAAGCCACACCAUAAAUAAACAAGAAAUAGU
rfam:Monodelphis domestica chromosome 2, whole genome shotgun sequence.